GGUGGGUAUGGUAAGGUGGGCGAGGUGGGUAAGGUAAGGUGGGCGAGGUAAGGUUGGCGAGGUGAGGUGGGCGAGGUAAGGUGGGCGAGGUAAGGUGGGCGAGGUAAGGUAAGGUGGGCGAGGUAAGGUAAGGUGGGCGAGGUGAGGUAAGGUGGGCGAGGUGAGGUAAGGUGGGCGAGGUGAGGUAAGGUGGGCGAGGUAAGGUAAGCGAGGUGAGGUAAGGUGGGCGAGGUAAGGUGGGCGAGGUAAGGUGGGCGAGGUAAGGUGGGCGAGGUAAGGUGGGCGAGGUAAGGUGGGCGAGGUAAGGUGGGCGAGGUAAGGUGGGCGAGGUAAGGUGGGCGAGGUAAGGUAAGUUGGGUAAGGUAAGGUGGGCGAGGUAAGGUGGGCGAGGUGAGGUAAGGUAAGUGAGUGCAGACAUCAAAUGAUACAUUUUUUAAGCCACAACUAUUUUCAAAAUAUAAAAGCAGGCCCCUAAAAACCAGAGGUUGGGUGAAUAUAAGGAACACAGAGAGUGCUUAUUUCAAACAGUGUUAGGAGCAGGAGUGCUGACGUGACAACUCUAGACACACUGGCUGUGUCCGAAUACCUGUACUUGCAAUCUAAAUAGUAGGCAUACAAAUAUUUUUUUUAAUAGUAUGUGACAUUUAAAAAAAAUUGUAUGCAUUAAAUGACAGGAUGUCACACUCAUUUUGGCUUUUCAUUUAGUAGAAUUCGCUGAAGAGUAUCGUCUUUCCAGACACGUGUGUGACAACAGCUGAUAAUCGCGCUGUACCAAAAUUAACAAAUGGCAGAAAUCAACAUAAUUGCACAUUGAUAACGUAUUCUCAGUAGGAUGAGCCUAGUCGUUGACUACUGUAUCCGCUUUUACUUAAAAGUAUGUUCCAAAUAGUAUGUAGUACACAGUAUGCAGUUUAAGUAGUAGACAAGACAGAUUUCAGACACAGCGUCUCCUUUUAAAUUUUAGGAGGUGACAAAAAAUAAUUCUUAAAAGGGAAACAUGAAGACUUGUGAAAGAGUGUAGAUCCAAAAGAAGGGUGAGGAUGUGUGAAUUGUAGAUCGAAAACCUGGU